AUUGAACGCUGGCGGCAUGCCUUACACAUGCAAGUCGAACGGCAGCACGGGGGCAACCCUGGUGGCGAGUGGCGAACGGGUGAGUAAUGCAUCGGAACGUGCCCAGUAGUGGGGGAUAACCAGUCGAAAGACUGGCUAAUACCGCAUACGACCUAAGGGUGAAAGCGGGGGACCGUAAGGCCUCGCGCUAUUGGAGCGGCCGAUGUCUGAUUAGCUAGUUGGCGGGGUAAGAGCCCACCAAGGCGACGAUCAGUAGCUGGUCUGAGAGGACGACCAGCCACACUGGGACUGAGACACGGCCCAGACUCCUACGGGAGGCAGCAGUGGGGAAUUUUGGACAAUGGGCGCAAGCCUGAUCCAGCCAUGCCGCGUGCGGGAAGAAGGCCUUCGGGUUGUAAACCGCUUUUGGCAGGAACGAAACGGCGCAGGCCAAUACCUUGCGCUAAUGACAGUACCUGCAGAAUAAGCACCGGCUAACUACGUGCCAGCCGCCGCGGUAAGAC
rnacentral:rRNA from 1 species